GACGAACGCUGGCGGCGUGCUUAAUACAUGCAAGUCAACGAUUUUUAAGAUAGCAAUAUUUUAAAAAUAGUGGCGCACGGGUGAGUAACACGUAGAUAAUCUGCCUUUAGGUCUGACAUAACUCGUCGAAAGACGGGCUAAUAUCAGAUAAAACAAUAACUUGGCAUCAAGUAAUUGUCAAAAGCUUCGGCGCCCAAAAGAUGAGUCUGCGGACCAUUAGGUAGUUGGUGGAUUAACAGCCCACCAAGCCAACGAUGGAUAGCUGGUCUGAGAGGAUGAUCAGCCACACUGGAACUGAGACACGGUUCAGACUCCUACGGGAGGCAGCAGUAAGGAAUAUUGCUCAAUGGGAGAAAUCCUGAAGCAGCAACGCCGCGUGAAGGAAGAAGGGGUCUUCGACUUGUAAACUUACUGUAGAAGAGGAAAAUAACUACCGAUAUACUCGGAAUUGAUUGUACUCUUAAAGUAAGUACCCCGGCGUAACCUAACGUGCCUAGCAGCCGCGGUAA
rnacentral:rRNA from 1 species